rnacentral:lncRNA from 1 species
UGGACUCAUCCCGACCCUCAAUGGUCAAUUAUUUCUCUCUUCUCUCAUGGGAUACACACCCCCAAACUUGAUUUUGUAACUAUUUUUCCAAGGUGUGAUUUAUAGUUAAAUUUAUAUGCCAUUACUUACCCUCUCUAGUUUGGUUAGAUUUUACUAAUUGUAGCUCAACACAUCAAUAAAUGAGGAUUCUCCUUAAUUUUGAUUGAUACAACCUCCAAGAAUCAACUAAGCUACUAAUCCCUUAUCAAAUGUCUAAUUCUCUAAAAUAAGUGUUUGGGACUUAAUCAAGGCAUGUAGUGCGUCUUCUGUUUCAUGCACCUGCUUUUUUUAAGUUUGCCGUGCGUAUUCUGUUUCAUGCACUAGCCUAUCUCUUUUUAUGUAUAUAAUUGUCCUCAUUGGGCUCUUUUAGAGUAGCUUC